rnacentral:rRNA from 1 species
GAUGAACGCUGGCGGCGUGCCUAAUACAUGCAAGUCGAGCGAACGGACGAGAAGCUUGCUUCUCUGAUGUUAGCGGCGGACGGGUGAGUAACACGUGGAUAACCUACCUAUAAGACUGGGAUAACUUCGGGAAACCGGAGCUAAUACCGGAUAAUAUUUUGAACCGCAUGGUUCAAAAGUGAAAGACGGUCUUGCUGUCACUUAUAGAUGGAUCCGCGCUGCAUUAGCUAGUUGGUAAGGUAACGGCUUACCAAGGCAACGAUGCAUAGCCGACCUGAGAGGGUGAUCGGCCACACUGGAACUGAGACACGGUCCAGACUCCUACGGGAGGCAGCAGUAGGGAAUCUUCCGCAAAGGGCGAAAGUCUGACGGAGCAACGCCGCGUGAGUGAUGAAGGUCUUCGGAUCGUAAAACUCUGUUAUUAGGGAAGAACAUAUGUGUAAGUAACUGUGCACAUCUUGACGGUACCUAAUCAGAAAGCCACGGCUAACUACGUG